CCUACGGGUGGCAGCAGUGAGGAAUAUUGGUCAAUGGGCUUACGCCUGAACCAGCCAAGUCGCGUGAGGGAAGACUGCCCUAUGGGUUGUAAACCUCUUUUGUCAGGGAGCAACGCCGGCUACGUGUAGCCGGACUGAGAGUACCUGAAGAAAAAGCAUCGGCUAACUCCGUGCCAGCAGCCGCGGUAAUACGGAGGAUGCGAGCGUUAUCCGGAUUUAUUGGGUUUAAAGGGUGCGUAGGCGGACUGGAAAGUCAGCGGUAAAAUCGAGAGGCUCAACCUCUUUCCGCCGUUGAAACUGUCGGUCUUGAGUGGGCGAGAAGUAUGCGGAAGGCGUGGUGUAGCGGUGAAAUGCAUAGAUAUCACGCAGAACUCCGAUUGCGAAGGCAGCAUACCGGCGCCCGACUGACGCUGAGGCACGAAAGCGUGGGUAUCGAACAGGAUUAGAUACCCGGGUAGUC
rnacentral:rRNA from 1 species